rnacentral:lncRNA from 1 species
AUGACUGUAUUACAGUUUGUGAUUAUAUAUGGGUUUGUGAGAGGAGCGUGUCAACCGUGCAUGCUCCACAAUGUGCCUGGAGAGAUUGAUGUUUUGUCAUCCACCUGCUUCAAAGCUGUAAAACCCGGCAGGCAGCAGCAAACGGAGAGACCUACCCAGCCCGGAAAAAAAACAAAACAAAGAAAGACCUUACUGGUGCUGUUUACACAUCUGUGUGGAGGACUAUCUGGGCUUGUGUGUUUUGACAUCGCGCUCAAAUGGCUGCACGGCUCCUGUCUCAGUGAAACGGAAGAUGUAGAGGAGCUGGAUGCUGGAGAGUGAGUGGAGGAGUGAAGCUGAGCCCUGGACGGAGGGAUCUGCUGGAGGAAAGGAGAGAGAGAGAGGUGAGUUGGGAAAGUGAUGUGGAGAGCGGAUGGGAGGGGGUAGGAAAGUGGGGAGA